rnacentral:rRNA from 1 species
UACGUAGGGGGCAAGCGUUGUCCGGAUUUAUUGGGCGUAAAGAGCGUGUAGGCGGCUUUACAGGUCCGUUGUGAAAACUCGAGGCUCAACCUCGAGACGCCGGUGGAAACCGUAAAGCUAGAGUCCGGAAGAGGAGAGUGGAAUUCCUGGUGUAGCGGUGAAAUGCGCAGAUAUCAGGAAGAACACCCGUGGCGAAGGCGGCUCUCGGGGACGGUACUGACGCUGAGACGCGAAAGCGUGGGGAGCGAACAGG